rnacentral:rRNA from 1 species
GACGAACGCUGGCGGCGGGCUUAACACAUGCAAGUCGAACGGAAAGGCCCUGCUUUUGUGGGGUGCUCGAGUGGCGAACGGGUGAGUAACACGUGAGUAACCUGCCCUUGACUUUGGGAUAACUUCAGGAAACUGGGGCUAAUACCGGAUAGGAGCUCCUGCUGCAUGGUGGGGGUUGGAAAGUUUCGGCGGUUGGGGAUGGACUCGCGGCUUAUCAGCUGGUUGGUGGGGUAGUGGCUUACCAAGGCUUCCACGGGUAGCCGGCCUGAGAGGGUGACCGGGGACAAUGGGCCUGAGAUACGGCGCAGACUCGAACGGGAGGCAGCGGUCGGGAAUAUGACACAAUGAGGGGGAGCCUGAUGCGGCGGCGCCGCGAGCGUGAAGACGGCUUUCGGGUUAUAAACCGCUUUAGCCUGAGACGAAGCGUGAGUGACGGUAACGGGUAAAGAAGCACCGGCUAACUACGUG